GACGAACGCUGGCGGCGUGCUUAACACAUGCAAGUCGAACGGAAAGGCCCUGCUUGCAGGGUACUCGAGUGGCGAACGGGUGAGUAACACGUGGGUGAUCUGCCCUGCACUUCGGGAUAAGCCUGGGAAACUGGGUCUAAUACCGGAUAGGAGCCAUUUUGAGUGUGAUGGUUGGAAAGUUUUUUCGGUGUAGGAUGAGCUCGCGGCCUAUCAGCUUGUUGGUGGGGUAAUGGCCUACCAAGGCGGCGACGGGUAGCCGGCCUGAGAGGGUGGACGGCCACAUUGGGACUGAGCUACGGCCCAGACUCCUACGGGAGGCAGCAGUGGGGAAUAUUGCACAAUGGGCGAAAGCCUGAUGCAGCGACGCCGCGGGGGGGAUGACGGCCUUCGGGUUGUAAACUCCUUUCGCUAGGGACGAAGCUUUUUGUGACGGUACCUAGAGAAGAAGCACCGGCUAACUACGUG
rnacentral:rRNA from 1 species